rnacentral:tRNA from 1 species
AAGAUUUUAUGUUAUUAUAAACUAUCACCCUUCAAAGGUGAAAAAAAAAGAUCAAUCCUUUUAAAUCUUA